ensembl:ncRNA T21E12.6 ncRNA
UGACAAAUUGUAGAUUGGAUGAGGGGGACAAAAAAUAGACAAGAUUCUGACCGAGAUGUCAUUAAUUUUCGUCAACUAGACACUUU